AAUAUUUCAAUUCUUUAAAUUAUUUAAAAAUAUCAUAAUAUUAUUAUCACUCCAAAAAAAAAAAUGCAUUCAAGAAAGGCAGUUAGUAUAAUUAUCUACUUGUUUAUAAUAAUAGCCAGCUGCUUUACCUUAAGUCUGGAAGCUUCUAGAAUUCUCAGCAAGAAGACUACCACCCCCACCAAUUCCCCAUCUUUCAAUGGUAAGAAAUACGUCCCUCCUAUACGUCCCCGUUGCUAUUGCUUUAUUCCCGGCUGCUGCGGGGCUGAUACCAACGCCAAAAAGGGGCCUAAAACGUGAAAUAGGCAGUUUUGGUCCCUCAAGUUUGCAACAAUUUCACAUUUGGUCCCCUCAUGUUUAUAAAACACACAUUUGAUCCUUCAUGUUUCACAAAUUCAACUUUUUUAGUUCAUUUCCGUCAGUUUUCGUUAAUAAUAACGGAACCAACCGUGUGCUCGUCACUGCCUUAACUCACGGAGUAACGGUAAAUUGACGAAAAAAUACCAAAAAUGUUAAAUUAUUGAAACAUGAGGGACCUAAUAUGUUUUUUGUGAACUUCGGGGACUGAAUAUGAAAUUCGUACAAACUUGAGGAUGAAACUGUAAUUUUUCCUAAUAUAUACAAUGGCGGAGCCAGUAUAGGGCUAAGGGAGGCUAUGAUGGUGUUUCCCACAUUUCUCAAAUUCCUAUUAUUUUAUAUUGAAAUAUAUUUGAAAAAAAAAAUUGUAUAAUAGCAAUAACGGCUCCCAAGAAGAAAAAAAAUAAUGCACUUGGGGCCCUUUUAGAAAUAAGAAGAGUGCGUGUGAUGUGUGUGUAAUUUUCAUAAAGUAAUGUCUUCAUGUAUGGAUAAUGCAUCGUUGUCUAAAGCUCUUUCGUUAGGGAUGAUAGGAUUAUCUAGGAUUGAAUAGUUGUGUUUGGUACUAGAUAUUGUUAUUGUUACUAUUACUAUUUGCUCCGAAUUUGUCAA